UACGGAAGGGGCAAGCGUUGUUCGGAAUCAUUGGGCGUAAAGGGCGCGUAGGUGGCUCUGUAUGUCUACCGUGAAAGCAUACAGCUCAACUGUAUUUUGUCGGUAGAAACUGCAGGACUUGAGGCUGGGAGGGGCUGGUGGAAUUCCCUGUGUAGCGGUGAAAUGCGUAGAGAUGGGGGGAGAACACUCGUGGCGAAGGCGGCCAGCUAGACCAGUUCUGACACUGAGGCGCGACAGCGUGGGGAGCAAACAGG
rnacentral:rRNA from 1 species